AUGAUAGUCACACAAAGAGAGAGAGGGGCAGAAACACAGGCAGAGGGAGAAGCAGGCUCCAUGCACCAGGAGCCCGAUGUGGGAUUCGAUCCCGGGUCUCCAGGAUCGGGCCCUGGGCCAAAGGCAGGCGCCAAACCACUGCGCCACCCAGGGAUCCCUAUCAAGGCAAUUUGUCAUCCUCAUCAAGAACUUUUCCACCUGCCUCAGUUCUUGGGAGUAUUUCACGUUGUAAAUGAAUUCUUCCCUUCAACAAAAAUUAAUUUACUUAUAGAGCAUCUACUAGUAUGCCAGUCACAUUUAUAUGGGGGACCUCCCUCAGCUAGAUUCAAGAUGUUCUGUGAAAUGGAAAUGUAGCUGAAUGGAAAGCAAGAUUGACAGUGAGAAUCCUCAAUCUGCCAUUUAUGAAGGAUAAUUUGUUCAACAUUAAAUAUAAAAAGCUCUGCCUGAUGGUUGCAUUAUAACCAGUGGGGUGUCUUGUCAACCAACGUGCUCGGAAACAGGUUUAUACAACUCACUCUUUUUCAGUAAUUAUUGCCUUUUAAGUGAGAGCAUCUAAGCAUGUUAAAUGAGACUUAGUUCAUAAUUGUCAGAUAUUAGUAUAAUGGAUUCAACUAAAAGGAUUUUAGACAUUUGGGCCAAUUUGGCCCUCUGUUCUAGAAGCUGCACGUGGCACAGGAUGAACGUGCCCCUUGAAAUUGGAGAGAAGAUGAUGUGAAUGACUGAAUGAAUGCUUGCCUUUCCUUUUGAACAUUUCCUGACUCAUCAGCCACCCAACCCCGCAUCCCUGCCUGCAUUAAAGCAAGCAUACCUCUAACAAAAAGCAACAUAUGGAGGGAGUUACUGACUCCAGGAUGCAUUAAAACCAGAGCCUGAGCCUCAGACUGAAAACCCACAAUCAAAAAUAUUUUCAUUUGCCUUCCUGAAGCUUGCAUUUCCACGUGUUAUAUGAGAUUUGUUAGGCAGUUCUAGGUCUUAUGUUAGGAAGUGAGCUGUUGCCGAAUUCCCAGGAUAUGUCCUGGUCUGCAGUGUAUUGUGCUAGUUUCUCGUUUGUAAACGUUUUGGUCCAUGACAUUUCAAUGGACCUUUUUUCAAGUCUCUAAUACAUAGGGUGUGCACCCACAGCAGACAAAUCACACCAAUUCUGGGGGUAACUCAAUCAGCAUGUCAUGCUUGGGCCUCAAUUUUCAUUCUUUGGCCAGGUUGGCAUGUUACUUACAGAGUUAGGGACCAUUGGAAGAACUCUUGUUCUUGUUCUUGUCAGGAACAUUUUGGGAUAUUCCAGAGAAGAUGUGAUUAUUUUGAUAAACACAUAUCUAAGACAUGUGACUUUCAAGCACAUAGUAGUCUCUGACCUUGCUCAGAGAACCUUUAGAAUGGGGACAGAACCUCCGUGGUGUGAAUAUUCACUUUAGAAUAUCCCUCAGUUAUAGUUUUAUCUGGAAAUCCUUGAAUCUCUGAUAAAAUUCUGUUCCACAUCCAUGCCCAGAUUCAGUCAUGGACCAACCCCAUCUUUCCUCCCAUCUGUUGAAAGGUACUUAUGAGUUUACACAGGUAAUAUAUAGGUAAUAUAUGAAUUCAUUCUUGUGGGAACAUUCCAAACAAUGAAGAACUGUGUUCAUGAUUGAAGAGUUGGUCUCUUUUCACUCCUGACAACCCUAGAAGUAGUUAUCAUUAAUAACAGAGUAGCAUGUUCUAUUCUUUUUAAUGCAUUUAUGUUGAUAUGUGAAGAAAACAUACAAGCACGUACUUUAGCAAAUAUUAAAGGAAUCGUAGAAUACACAUUUUUUUUAAAUUUUGCUAUUUGCCUUUUCAUCAAAAAAUUUACAUUAAUUGUGUUUAAACCAGAAAUCAGGAUUUGGGAAUGCAUCCCUCUUUACAAAUCCAGAGUUGGAGUCUUCCAAAGGCCUCUCUCACCUGUGGUCCUGACUACUAUUUCAUUUCACUGCCCACCCUGUCAUUGUCCUUUCUAUUACCCCACAGUCCAGCUGCAUCAAGGAAAAAUGUUCCAUUCAGUGCCUUCAGAUUAAAAUAUACUUAAGAUUUUUGAACCAACAGGGUGAGAAAAUGGAAAGACUAACAAAGAUUCUAAUUAGAGCCAAACAGUAUACAUAGAUAGGUUGCUUAGGCAGCAAGGGAAUAUUUCUCAUAGCCUCAGAGAUGGAAAUGGGAUAAUUGCUAAGAAAAAUAGGUCCAUCUAACCUAUUAUCCCUUAUGUCUGCCAAAUUCUAGCAGCUUCCUUAAACUCUUCCUUUAUGACCACUUGACAACUGAGCAUAAGGCAAGAGCUCUUCCCUGCAACGUUGAGCUUGAUUGCUUACAAUCUUCUGCCCCCAGGGGUUCUCAUCCCCCUCCUUGAUUAGGAGAAAUGGCCCCCUGCUCAUCCUGUCAAGACUCCCCGGCUGCACACUGAAUGGGGGAGAAAUCUCAUUUUGGAGACAAGCAUUUUCUGUGAACUCUAUUAAGCAACAAAGCAGCCUGGCUUUCACGGGGGUCACAUUUCCAGGAUAUAAUCACCAACUUCUUGGGUGCAAUAUAAGGCCCCUGCCGGAGUCCACUCUUUUCCAUGUUCGUCAAUGUGAUUAUUUCACGAUAACAGCUUUCUCGAGGGAGUCAGAGAUGCUUUCUGCACAUUUUAAUGAGCCUGUCAUCCGGCCUCAAUUUUUUCCCCAUACUCUUUCUUUUCUGAUUCCUUUCUUUCAUGUUGUGAUCCACAUGUAUUUGGAAGGCCAAGAGGACACAGAUUUUAAAUGUCAUCCAACAUAGAUGAAAAUCCAUUGUCUUCCCUUCUUGAAAUUUAGCAAUAUUGCAGGGUUUUUUUUUUUUUGUUCAAGUGGGUUAAAAAUAUUCUAUAUUGGUGUUCUGAGAAAAAAUAAUGUAUAAUUAAUUAGUCAUAGAAUUUCAAUACAUUCCUAGGUAAGGAAUAAUCUUAGUUUUCAUGAAGAAUUAAAACAUAUGUUAAAUACAAUUAUAAUAAAGAGCAUUAUAACAAAUAUCCCUGUGUAAUA
rnacentral:lncRNA from 1 species